rnacentral:rRNA from 1 species
GACGAACGCUGGCGGCGUGCUUAACACAUGCAAGUCGAACGGAAAGGCCCUGCUUUUGUGGGGUGCUCGAGUGGCGAACGGGUGAGUAACACGUGAGUAACCUGCCCUUGACUUUGGGAUAACUUCAGGAAACUGGGGCUAAUACCGGAUAGGAGCUCCUGCUGCAUGGUGGGGGUUGGAAAGUUUCGGCGGUUGGGGAUGGACUCGCGGCUUAUCAGCUUGUUGGUGGGGUAGUGGCUUACCAAGGCUUUGACGGGUAGCCGGCCUGAGAGGGUGACCGGCGACAAUGGGACUGAGAGACGGCCCAGAGUCCUACGGGAGGCAGCAGUGGGGAAUCUUGCACAAUGGGCGGAAGCCUGAUGCAGAGACGCCGCGGGCGGGAUGACGGCCUUCGGGUUGUAAACCGCUUUCGCCUGUGACGAAGCGUGAGUGACGGUAAUGGGUAAAGAAGCACCGGCUAACUACGUG